rnacentral:rRNA from 1 species
UUCCGGUUGAUCCUGCCGGACCUUACUGCUAUCGGGGUGGGACUAAGACAUGCGAGUUGAGCGUCUCUAGCUAUGUUGAGACGCGGCAUACGGCUCAGUAACACGUGGCUAACCUACCCUCAGGACGGGGACAAACCCGGGAAACUGGGGCUAAUAUCCGAUAGGCGAGGAAUCCUGGAAUGGGUCCUCACCCAAAGGACAUUGGAAACAUGCUUUCUCUGUCGCCUGGGGAUGGGGCCGCGACCGAUCAGGUUGUUGGUGAGGUAAUGGCUCACCAAGCCUUUAACCGGUACGGGCCGUGAGAGCGGUAGCCCGGAGAUGGGUACUGAGACAAGGACCCAGGCCCUACGGGGCGCAGCAGUCGCGAAAACUCCGCAAUGCACGAAAGUGUGACGGGGCUACCCCGAGUGCCGUCCGCUGAGGAUGGCUUUUCCUUGGUGUAACUAGCCGGGGGAAUAAGGAGAGGGCAAGACUGGUGUCAGCCGCCGCGGUAAUACCAGCUCUCCGAGUGGUAGGGAUGAUUAUUGGGCUUAAAGCGUCCGUAGCCGGCUUAGCAAGUUUCCUGUUAAAUUCAGCGACCUAAUCGUUGAGCCGCGGGAAAUACUACUAGGCUAGGAGGCGGGAGAGGUCGACGGUACUUCUGGGGUAGGGGUGAAAUCCUAUAAUCCCGGGAGGACCACCAGUGGCGAAGGCUGUCGACUAGAACGCGCUCGACGGUGAGGGACGAAAGCUGGGGGAGCGAACCGGAUUAGAUACCCGGGUAGUCCCAGCUGUAAACGAUGCGGGCUAGGUGUUGGGGUGGCUACGUGCCACUUCAGUGCCGCAGGGAAGCCAUUAAGCCCGCCGCCUGGGGAGUACGGCCGCAAGGCUGAAACUUAAAGGAAUUGGCGGGGGAGCACCACAAGGCGUGAAGCUUGCGGUUCAAUUGGAGUCAACGCCGGA